UAGCCGAAGCCAGUCGACGAGUGAACUCCGUUCAGCUUGUGUCAUGUGCAAUGUGUGAUCCGUUCCGUUCCUAAGAAAGACGUACGAGACAUGAGUGUUGGUGACGGGGUGCCGCGUGGCCCCCACAUAGUGAUCCUAUACGCAAUCGGCGCUGUAUCACUAACAGCUUUCGGACUCCUAGCCUACACGACAGUCGUCCUAGAACAGAGAGUCAGUAGCCUCGAGGCCGCUCUGCUGCUAGAAAAAUCUUCACCGUCCGUCAGGUUCCGCAGGGACAUACCUACCGACACACCUGACUGCGCUUGUCCUCCAGGGCCUCCCGGUGCGCCUGGGAAGAGAGGGAAAAGGGGGAAGAAAGGUGAUGCAGGAGAACCAGGACCUGCUGGCCCAACUGGUCCACCUGGCAAGAAUGGGUUUCCGGGCGUGAGAGGCUCUAAAGGAGACCGCGGGUUUUUGGGACCAAUUGGCCUGGACGGGCCAAAAGGAGACCCAGGCCGGCCUGGCGAAAAAGGCCAAAAAGGAGAGCUUGGGAAUCCGGGAUUCGAUGUUUAUGCAGCAGUCAAGGGUCUCAAGAGGUCAGUGACUACGUUGAGAGGCGGAACGCUUGGCUACGCCGAAAUAGUAGCCGUAAAGGGAGAACCGGGGGAGCCAGGUCCUCCAGGUCCACCAGGGCCUCAGGGUCCAGAAGGAUUGCCGGGUCACGACGGAAGACAAGGGGUGCCUGGAGAAGCAGGAUCACCAGGUGAACGGGGGCCUCCAGGACCUCAAGGCUUGCCAGGUCCAGCAGGUGAAACAGGACCUCAAGGCAUUCAGGGAGAAAAGGGUGAUAAGGGAGAAAGGGGACUAACAACUACGCUCAAAGGAGACCAAUUCCCUACAGGUAUCAUCGAAGGACCACCAGGGCCACCAGGACCGCCAGGACCUGAAGGAGGCAAAGGUGAGAAGGGAGACAUAGGCCCUACCGGUCCGCCUGGCCAGCCUGGAGAGAAAGGAGCCAGAGGCAAGCGAGGCAAACGGGGGGAUGACGGGAGUGCUACCUCAAGAGGUCUUCCUGGAUUACCAGGGGCUAAAGGGGAAGCGGGUCCUAAGGGUGACAGAGGCGAAAGAGGAUUUGUUGGCCUUCCAGGAAAUAAAGGUGAUACGGGGCCAGCAGGGCCACCAGGAGAACCGGGAAUGCACGGUGAACCUGGACUUCAAGGUCCUCCAGGAUUGCCUGGUCAAUACGGACCUAAGGGAGAAAAAGGAGAUUAUGGUGAUAUUGGACCUCCAGGUUUAAUGGGACCACCAGGAUUGCCAGGACCACCAGGAUAUCCAGGUCAAAAAGGAGAAAAAGGAGACAAAGGAGAAUCUAAAUACAAGAAGCUCAGGAGGCGGCAGGGUGAUGGAACUUUUGAACUGAACUCAGGAGGGGGAUCUGACACUAGAUACCAGCAAGUUAUAGGACCUCCUGGACCUCCAGGCCCACCUGGAGUCCCAGGUCUUCAAGGCCCACCAGGAAUCAAAGGUGAUCGGGGUAUGGAUGGAGCCAAAGGCGAGCAAGGAGAGAAAGGUUCGAAAGGAGAUCCUGGCCCAAUGGGACUACCCGGUCCCAUGGGCCUGAGGGGCGAGUCAGGGCGCCCCGGAGAUAUCGGCAAACCCGGACAAAUGGGUCCACCCGGCCUUGACGGAAUGAAAUCUAAAAUUGUCGGUUUUAGGGAGGGCAAGGAGAGCCGGGUGCUAAAGGCGAACGAGGUGACCCUGGUCUUCCAGGGACUGAUGGAAUUCCAGGGUCGGAGGGCCCGAAAGGAGAAAGGGGUCAGAAAGGUGAACCAGGGCCCCUUGGCAAAAGAGGAAGGAAAGGAGACCGAGGAGACAAGGGAGACCAAGGUGUACCAGGACUAGAUGCACCCUGCCCGAUUGGACCGGAUGGACUACCAUUGCCUGGAUGUGGAUGGAGACCUCCUAAGGAAUUUCACGAGCCACUAACAACCCCUGCCCCACCCGAAGCUGAGCCUACGGAAGAUGACAACUACGAAGAUGGAGGAGAAGAUGAUUA
rnacentral:misc_RNA from 1 species